rnacentral:rRNA from 1 species
UACGUAGGGUGCGAGCGUUAAUCGGAAUUACUGGGCGUAAAGCGUGCGCAGGCGGUGAUGUAAGACCGAUGUGAAAUCCCCGGGCUUAACCUGGGAACUGCAUUGGUGACUGCAUUGCUGGAGUAUGGCAGAGGGGGGUGGAAUUCCACGUGUAGCAGUGAAAUGCGUAGAGAUGUGGAGGAAUACCGAUGGCGAAGGCAGCCCCCUGGGCCAAUACUGACGCUCAUGCACGAAAGCGUGGGGAGCAAACAGG